AUGCUUCGGAUAAACCUAGUGAUGGAUCUUCCUUGAGAAGAACUUCUUCUUCUCCAAUUCUUGUGGCUGGGGUCUUUGGUAGCUCUCGGGUGAAGAGCAGCUUGAUUUGGGAUCAAUUGAGGGUUAUGGUGGGAGCUGUGAGUGUGGAUCAGCUACAACCUUCCAAGGU